CGAGAUCCAAAGUCAGUCUGGUACAAGUCAUGAAUAUCUUAUAUAACUUCAUUUUGAUUGCCCAAAAUUACAUUCUAAUAAGGAGAAAAUGUUUGAUAUUUGUUGAUUCAAGUGGAGAAUCAUCAUAAUUAUUUUGGUUGAUGGUGGUGGUUAUCAUUAGAAUUAUCUUCAAGAAUAACAAAACCGGCAAUCAAAAUUAUUUUCAUCGAAAAAUAGCAUGAGAAAAAAAAUCCUAAGGAAUUGGAUGAAAUAUCUAAAGAAGAAUUAUAUUUUCAAAAAAUAUUUACAAAUCCAAAACUGAAUUCGC